rnacentral:rRNA from 1 species
UACGAAGGGUGCAAGCGUUACUCGGAAUUACUGGGCGUAAAGCGUGCGUAGGCGGUUUGUUAAGUCUGCUGUGAAAUCCCCGGGCUCAACCUGGGAACGGCAGUGGAUACUGGCAAGCUAGAGUGUGUCAGAGGAUGGUGGAAUUCCCGGUGUAGCGGUGAAAUGCGUAGCGAUCGGGAGGAACAUCAGUGGCGAAGGCGGCCAUCUGGGACAGCACUGCCGCUGAGGCACAAAAGCGUGGGGAGCAAACAGG